rnacentral:siRNA from 1 species
UCACCUACCUCCACCAUACGU